GAUGGCCACGAAAAUUGCUCUAAUGACGGCUCUCGGGGCAGGCUGCAGCCUGGCUGCAGUGCCCCUUAUUCUCGGAGGAAUUGGUUUCACUGCAGCUGGCAUUGCUGCCGGUUCCUACGCGGCCGGUAUGAUGUCGGCAGCGGCAACGGCCAACGGUGGUGCUGUCGCGGCCGGCAAUAUACCACACUAGUACUCACAAUAAUCCCUGACGACUGUGCUUGCCGCCAUGGCAAUUUAAAAUACCUGAGGUGCACACCUUCGUGCACCUGUGACCCUGACGUCAUAUGACCCAUAACCCCUACUCUCGUGCAUCCUUUAAAUGACGUCAUGUGACAUACAUAUAACACUACCAUGAACAAGUAAAAAAAAGAACAAAAGGUUAAAAGAAAAAAGCAAAGGACCCCAGCCUAUGCAAGCCCACAGCGGGGACAAAGUGAGCCUCUCUUCUGUUCUGCAGCCACACCUGUACUUAAUCUGCCUUCCAAUUAGUGAAGUGUGGCUUGUUCCUUUACAAAUUGCCAACAGGUGAACACAAUUGACAGUGAGUGAUUAACAAUUGACAAUUAGCACUUAGGGAGAGGUGGUGAAGGCUCAUAUAAAUGGGUGCAGUUUGUGUAUACUGGUUAACGCGUGUGUUGUUA